CAGAGCCGCCUGCUAACUGUAUCGUGGCGGGACAGACGAUGGGGACUAGACUUGUCUGUGACAUGAUUAAAACUAAGCAUGGCGUUGAUUUCGAAAUAGUCUGGAUACUCGGCGUAGACGAUGCAGCUGAUGGCUUUGGAUAGUGUACUUCCAAAUGUGACUUCCAGUCUGAAGUUCCCUUGUUUUAAUAAGGAAUGUGCUGAGGAGUGUCAAGUGUUUGGCUCCAGUUUGCAACUUUUUGAGCUUUCACCAUUCGAAGUAGAUUCUGCUUCUCACCAUCAAUUACGGAUUCUCCAACGAGAUCGCAAUGUUCUACCCAGAGAAAGCGUCUGAACACAUCGAUAACCAUCAACAGAUAUCUCACACCUGAGUUAUGUUUGGCAAGUGAGGUCAUGUCUAAUAAAUCGGUGUCGUAUUGUUCGAAAGGUUCUCCUACUUCUACACGUGCGCGUUUAAAUGAACGUUUGACAGGUUUUUGUAGACUGUAAUCGUCGAGACUUUGAAUGUAUCGUUUGAUUUUAUGUAAACCUGGAGAGUUAUGUCCUUGUGAUUUCAGUAUUUGAUGAACUUUUAUUGGACUUAAGAAUGUUCCACCGUUAUUAAAAUUAUAA